rnacentral:rRNA from 1 species
GACGAACGCUGGCGGCGUGCCUAAUACAUGCAAGUUGAGCGCUGAAGGUUGGUACUUGUACCAACUGGAUGAGCAGCGAACGGGUGAGUAACGCGUGGGGAAUCUGCCUUUGAGCGGGGGACAACAUUUGGAAACGAAUGCUAAUACCGCAUAAAAACUUUAAACACAAGUUUUAAGUUUGAAAGAUGCAAUUGCAUCACUCAAAGAUGAUCCCGCGUUGUAUUAGCUAGUUGGUGAGGUAAAGGCUCACCAAGGCGAUGAUACAUAGCCGACCUGAGAGGGUGAACGGCCACAUUGGGACUGGGACACGGCCCAAACUCCUACGGGAGGCAGCAGUAGGGAAUCUUCGGCAAUGGACGAAAGUCUGACCGAGCAACGCCGCGUGAGUGAAGAAGGUUUUCGGAUCGUAAAACUCUGUUGGUAGAGAAGAACGUUGGUGAGAGUGGAAAGCUCAUCAAGUGACGGUAACUACCCAGAAAGGGACGGCUAACUACGUG